ACAGUCACACAUUAGAUACCCGGGUAGUCCUGGCCGUAAACGAUGUGGACUUGGUGUUGGAAUGGCUCCGAGCUGCUCCAGUGCCGAAGGGAAGCUGUUAAGUCCACCGCCUGGGAAGUACGGUCGCAAGACUGAAACUUAAAGGAAUUGGCGGGGAGCACCACAACGGGUGGAGCCUGCGGUUUAAUUGGAUUCAACGCCGGACAUCUCACCGGAUAAGACAGCUGAAUGAUUGUCAAUCUGAAGGUUUUACAUGACUAGCUG
rnacentral:rRNA from 1 species